rnacentral:rRNA from 1 species
AGUGAACGCUGGCGGUAGGCCUAACACAUGCAAGUCGAACGGCAGCACAGUAAGAGCUUGCUCUUACGGGUGGCGAGUGGCGGACGGGUGAGGCAUACAUCUGAAUCUACUUUUUCGUGGGGGAUAACGUAGGGAAACUUACGCUAAUACCGCAUACGACCUACGGGUGAAAGCAGUGGAUCUUCGGACCUUGCGCGAUUGAAUGAGCCGAUGUCGGAUUAGCUAGUUGGCGGGGUAAAGGCCCACCAAGGCGACGAUCCGUAGCUGGACUGAGAGGAGGAACAGCCACCAUGGAACUGAGACAAGGUCCAGACUCCUACGGGAGGCAGCAGUGGGGAAUAUUGGACAAUGGGCGCAAGCCUGAUCCAGCCAUACCGCGUGGGUGAAGAAGGCCUUCGGGUUGUAAAGCCCUUUUGUUGGGAAAGAAAAGCAGCAGGUUAAUACCCCGAUGUUCUGACGGUACCCAAAGAAUAAGCACCGGCUAACUUCGUG